rnacentral:rRNA from 1 species
AACGCGAAGAACCUUACCUAGACUUGACAUCUCCUGCAUUACUCUUAAUCGAGGAAGUCCCUUCGGAGACAGGAUGACAGGUGGUGCAUGGUUGUCGUCAGCUCGUGUCGUGAGAUGUUGGGUUAAGUCCCGCAACGAGCGCAACCCUUAUUGUUAGUUGCCAUCAUUAAGUUGGGCACUCUAGCGAGACUGCCCGGGUUAACCGGGAGGAAGGUGGGGAUGACGUCAAAUCAUCAUGCCCCUUAUGUCUAGGGCUACACACGUGCUACAAUGGUCGGUACAAUAAGACGCAAGCCCGCGAGGGGGAGCAAAACUGGAAAACCGAUCUCAGUUCGGAUUGUAGGCUGAAACUCGCCUACAUGGAGCUGGAGUUACUAGUAAUCGCAGAUCAGCAUGCUGCGGUGAAUACGUUCCCGGGUCUUGUACACACCG